rnacentral:rRNA from 1 species
GCCUGUAAGACUGGGAUAACUCCGGGAAACCGGAGCUAAUACCGGAUAGUUCCUUGAACCGCAUGGUUCAAGGAUGAAAGACGGUUUCGGCUGUCACUUACAGAUGGACCCGCGGCGCAUUAGCUAGUUGGUGGGGUAAUGGCUCACCAAGGCGACGAUGCGUAGCCGACCUGAGAGGGUGAUCGGCCACACUGGGACUGAGACACGGCCCAGACUCCUACGGGAGGCAGCAGUAGGGAAUCUUCCGCAAUGGACGAAAGUCUGACGGAGCAACGCCGCGUGAGUGAUGAAGGUUUUCGGAUCGUAAAGCUUCUGUUGUUAGGGAAGAACAAGUGCGAGAGUACUGCUNNACCUUUGACNGNNCCUACCNGGAAGCCNCGGUUACUUCGUGCCACAGCCNCGGNAUACCUAGGUGGAAAGCCUUGNCCGAAUUUUUGGCCUAAAGGGGUNC